rnacentral:rRNA from 1 species
GUGGCCUCUAUUUAUAAGCUACCGSUUUUGGAUGAGUCCGCGUCUCAUUARCUUGUUGGUAGGGUAAUGGCCUACCAAGGSRACKAUGAGUAKCUGGUCUGAGAGGAUGAUCAGCCACACUGGGACUGAAACACGGCCCAGACUCCUACGGGAGGYGCAGUGGGGAAUAUUGCGCAAUGGGGGAAACCCUGACGCAGCGACSCCGCGUGUAGGAAGAAGGCCUUCGGGUCGUAAACUACUGUCWWGAGGGAAGAAACUGUUAGGCAUUAAUACGGCCUUUCACUGACGGUACCUCUAGAGGAAGCACCGGCUAACUCCGUGCCRRCASCCGCGGUAAUACGGAKGGUGCGAGCGUUAAUCGGAAUCACUGGGCGUAWAGCGUGCGUAKGCGGCGCAACAAGUCAGGYGUGAAAGYCCUCGGCUCAMCCGAGGAAUUGCGCUUGAAACUGUUGUGCUARAGUCUCGGAGAGGUUGGCGGAAUUCCAGGUGUARGAGUGAAAUCCGUAKAUAUCUGGAGGAACACCGGUGGCGAAUGCGGCCAACUGGACGAGUACUGACGCUGAGGUACGAAAGCGUGSGGAGCAAACASGAUUAGAUACCCUGGUAGUCCACGCUGUAAACGAUGGAUAUUACGUGUCGGGUUUUCAAUUCKGUGCCGCASUUAACGCGWUAAAUAUCCCGCCUGGGGAGUACGGUCGCAWGGCUGARACUCAAAGGAAUUGACGGRGGCCCGCACWAGCKGYGGAGUAUGUGGUUUAAU